ACAUUGUACAAAAUUCUCUUUUUUUAUAUAUAUAUAUGUAUAUAUGUACACACACAAAACCCCAUACCGAACAGGUUUACCAUACUGAAUUUUAAAAAGUUGCUCGUGGAAGGGUGUUGGAUUUUUUUUUCUCUGCUUGCUUUAGGCAGUGCUGUUGCUUAGAAGUUGACACCAGGCACCAUAUUUCUGAAAGCAAACCAAGACAGCCAGGAGCAGUAAAGGGCUUAGAGCUUUUUUACCCAGGCAUUGACUGUGAUGUGCUGGCAACUGAGGGUCAGUGAUGGAGAGAACUGAUGUUCUCCCACCCAUCUCUGCUUAGAGUUAGGGAUAUUUGACUUUGUAUUGCUUUCUCUUCCCUAGAAAACACUCUACUGUCAGCUUCCAUCUGGGCCAGAAGAAAAUUAGCCUUUAUUGAAAGGGAUUUCAGCCCAUGCACGAGGCUGGCGGCUGCCUGGUUUUUUCCUAGAGCAGAGUAUCACUAUGGCUGGGAAAAAAAGGACAAUCCCCUUACUGCUCCUGCUGGGAAGGGAAAAUCCAGAUGGAAAACAAGGUGGGAGCCAGACACAUGAAAGGCAAGUAAACGUGUCUCCGGUUAUGCGCAUCGGCUGAAACAUAAACAAGACUCAUUUUGUUUUAAAUCCAGAGGUUUUGUGCAACAUCUGUUAAAAUAACUCUUUUGUUUUUUUAAAGAAAUCACACAGCAUAACAGACGUUUGGAAGUGCAUUUUGAAGCAGAGAAAAUCCAAUUAAACACCUUCCUGCAACAGAACACUUCAAUCGGUGAGAAACCAAAGGGAAGUCAAACCUAACCAGUUUACAACAUUUGCCAGGAUUUGGGUUGGUUUUUGGUUUUCAUCCCCAUCCUCUCCCACCCCGGUAUUACAAAACAUUGCUGUUGGUUUUAUUAAUAAACGGGCUCCUCUGCAGUUCAUAUACAAUCAUAGGUGGAUUUUAAAUUCCAUUUUAUACAAACAUCUCAAAAAAUACUGGGAGUGAAGUAUGGUAGGAAAUACUGCUUGCAUUGCUACUUAACAUGUGGGUGGGAAGAGGAGGAGAAGGGUUGGUUAGUGCACACCUCUGGAGCAGAGUACCCUCACCUCCAAAAACGAUACAGCAGCUGAUUACAGAAAGGUAAUGUCCACAAAAUUUAAGUUUUUCAUGCUAUUCUACUUUCCAGUACUAUACUCUCCAAUCGCUUCCGCAAUUUAAUGGCUGGGUGGUGGAUGCUGAGGUAUAUUGCAAACGAGAUACCUGCACCUAGAGGAAAAUGCAUCUUUAGAAAGGGCUUUUUUUCUGCGUGUGGUGCUGCACAAAGCAAUUGCCGUGCAGGAAUUUCACCCAGCUUCCAAUUUGGAGUAGACAAAAGGUGACGCCUCCGGUUUUUUUAGGCACUUCUUUUCUUACAAGGGAGUUGUUUGGUUGAACCGAUUUGUUUAUGUUCUGUCCCACACCACCCCUUCCCCAGCCCCCAACAAGAGUCAGGGCAUAGUUUCUACUCUAAGUCCAAUUGAUAUUUAUUUCCCCCCUAUGGGUAACUUCCUAUGUAUAAAACGACAAAGGAAAUAAUUAAAGAGUAGAGGAAGAGCCUGACUCUGCAGUUUCGCAAGACUGAAGAUGGCUCCUUAGUAUUUAAAACUAAUUUCACAAUUUAAAUUUGACUUUUUCUUUUUUCCGGUAUACGAAUGAGACAUAAAUAUAGGCUCUCAAUCUGCUUAAAAAUUUCAUUCACGUAAUGGAAAAUUUCUUUUCAUUUAUUAAAAAUAUCACAUUUUGAGACUAGAAACAGUAAAAUGCAUGAAAAGUUUAAAAUAGAAAUUCAAGAAAAUCUUAUAGCAGCAAAAAAGCAGAAUAAAGAAAAACUUAAAAACACAGACACAACCUUUUCCUAUCACUGUGCCAUUGAUUGUUGGGGUUUUUUUUUAACAUUAAGCAGCCAAACAAUUUUAUUUUUCAGAAAAUUGCAUUACGUUCAAUGCCUCUUGAGGCACAAGGGUUUGAACUGGCCACCUAGAGCAGAAAAAGGGAGAAAAAAAGGGAUUUCCAACACAUCCAAAGAGCAUCAACAUUUGGGAAUGAACCAGCAGCUUUCUAAUUCAACCCUGACUGACAACAAAAGAGAAAGGUUAUUAAAAAAAGUGGGAUGGAUAUUUGGCAACUAGGGUCAGGAAAAACAAUCCAAGGAAUGACUAUGGCUCCCACUCGCUCCCCCGAGAAAAAAACCAUGCCAAUGGCUACUCCAUGUGCCCUUUGGAGACGGAAGGUUGUUUC
ensembl:lncRNA